CUACGGGAGGCUGCAGUGGGGAAUAUUGCACAAUGGGGGAAACCCUGAUGCAGCAACGCCGCGUGAGUGAAGAAGUAUUUCGGUAUGUAAAGCUCUAUCAGCAGGGAAGAAAAUGACGGUACCUGACUAAGAAGCACCGGCUAAAUACGUGCCAGCAGCCGCGGUAAUACGUAUGGUGCAAGCGUUAUCCGGAUUUACUGGGUGUAAAGGGAGCGCAGGCGGUCUGGCAAGUCAGAUGUGAAAGCCCGGGGCUUAACCCCGGGACUGCAUUUGAAACUGUCAGACUAGAGUGUCGGAGGGGCAAGCGGAAUUCCUAGUGUAGCGGUGAAAUGCGUAGAUAUUAGGAGGAACAUCGGUGGCGAAGGCGGCUUGCUGGACGAUAACUGACGCUGAGGCUCGAAAGCGUGGGGAGCAAACAGGAUUAGAUACCCCUGUAGUC
rnacentral:rRNA from 1 species